GACGGCGCCGUGAGCAGCACGUCGAGGUCCCCCUAUAAGAUGCGUUGGCGUCCGUGCCCGAAGCCUAGGGUUCCUCUCCUCCCCUCAGCCGCCGCCGCCACCUCUCCCAAACCCAUCUCGUUCCCAUCUCUCUUCCUUCUUCUCUGUCAGGUAAGACAGCAGAGAGAAGCAGGACAGAGAGCAGAAGGCGUCGCCGGUGGCGUCGCGCCCCGCCUCCGUUCGCCGCCGUCGUCAUGCCUGGGAGCACGGGGUGGAUCCCCGCGAUCCAUUCCCGGCGCUAGGGGUCCCGGGGGCCGACCACAUCGCCGGACCC
rnacentral:lncRNA from 1 species